GCAUGUUUUCAAACGGUUUCCACAACAUCAUACAAUCAUCAAAUAAAGAAAGAAAAUUGCAUCGAUUAGUGACUUACCGGCUGACGAUAACAAAUAAUAAGAAGAAGAAUAAGAAAACCAAGAAGCACGGGAUCCGAGAAUAAAUUGACACCGAGAGAUCAAGAUUAAUGCUCCGAAAAUAAGUACGAAAAUAAAAAUGUAGAAUUAUUUCUUUUUACUUAAAACUUUUCUGAGAGAGUGUGUAAGUUGUAAAUUUUCAAUUAUGUCUGUUAAAGAGUGGAGAAGGGGUUCUUUAUAUAAUGGGGAGAAUAAAGAAGUAAAAGGGAGAAAUAGGUAAUAAAAUCAAUCAAUGCCGGUAAGAAAGGAAAAUAAAAUAAUCUUGAAUAAAUUAUUAAACAGAAUCAAUUAAAAUGGGAGGAAAAUAUGCUAAUUUUCAUAGAUAGUCACACACAAUCUGUUAAAACCAAAAGCCAAGGAAGAUCCCACGCGAUCUUUGAAAAUUUCACCAUAAAUAAAUAAUAAUGAGACUAUCAAAUUAUUCAAAAUGAGUAAAUUAAUAAAUACAGCUACAUCACACAACUAUUUACCAUAAAUUUUUUAGUAUCACAGUUCACUACAAAGAGACAAUAAAUGCACACACAUUGAAUUUCCGUGGACAAGCAACUAAACUAGCAAAAUUUAAGAAGGGAAAAAUAUUAAUCAAAAUAACCAAAUCACAAUGCACCAGAUUUAGCCAAGUAAACAAACUUGUCCGGCUUAAAUGAAAACUCAAAAGAUUCAUGCAAUACUUAUAACGGGAUCCAAAAUUAUAUUAAGCAGAGAGAAUGAACAAGGACGUAAUUUUAUAAAUUUCAUAAGCAGCAUUUCAACAUGAAUCAUGCUAAGUGCAAUCAAACAGAAUAAUUCCACAAAGAACAUGUAAAAAAAUCAGCAUCUGAACCCAAGAUUUAGGGAGACCAUAAAAAUUGGAGUAAUUUUAACAUAUUUCAGGCACACAUAAAUCACCAGAAUGUUAACAAAAUUUUUAACACCACGUUAUCAACCUCGGCAAAUAAAAGAAAGGGUAGAAGUGAUUUGAUACAUAUACGUAGAAAUUAAAAAGGGAAUUAAACCUGGGGAUGGGUUCUUGAGAACCCAUCGUCUUCCGACAUCAUAAGGAUGUACGGGAAAGAAACAACGGUGUGAUGGGUGGAGUAGGCGGUUGGUGUUGUUGCUGUAGUGGCGGCGGCGUGGAGAAGUAGUAGUGGUGGCGAUUAUGCACUUCUCGAGUGGGGUGCGGUGCUAGCUGGUGGACGGAUGCUUCACCAACUGGUGAUGCUGCUGACAUUUAUUCGCCAAAAAAAUAGAUAAAAUGGCGAUGGUGUUGGUGGCUCCAUCGGAGGGGUUCCUCGACGGGCGGCGGCGAUUGGUUCGAGGCAGCGGUGGGGUCCCACUAGUUGGUGGCAUGAUGGCUGCGGAAUUGACUGGCGAUGAAGAUGGAGAUGUUAUUUAGAGUUAGAGAGAGGAAGAGGGACGGAGAGAGAUGGCAUCUUGGUGGGGAGGUGGUGGUCGGUGACGACAGUCAUGGAUAGAGAGAAAGAGAGAGAUAGAGAAAAUGGUUUAGC
rnacentral:lncRNA from 1 species